UAGAAAGUUUACAGGGCAGGGAAUA
rnacentral:misc_RNA from 1 species